GACGAACGCUGGCGGCGUGCUUAACACAUGCAAGUCGAACGGACAGGCCCUGCUUUUGUUGGUUUCUCGAGUGGCGAACGGGUGAGUAACACGUGAGUAACCUGCCCUUGACUUUGGGAUAACUUCAGGAAACUGGGGCUAAUACCGGAUAGGAUCUCCUGCUGCAUGUUGGUGGUUGGAAAGUUUCGGCGGUUGUGGAUGGACUCGCGGCUUCUCAGCUUGUUGGUGUGGUAGUGGCUUACCAAGGGUGUGACGGAUAGCCGGCAUGAGAGGGUGACCGGCCACAAGGGGACUGAGAGACGGACCAGAAGGCUACGGGAGGCAGCGGUGGGGAGUAUGGCACAAUGGGCGGAAGCCAGAGGCAGCAACGCCCGGUGCGGGAUGACCGGUUACGGGGUGUAAACCGCUGUCGCCGGAGACGAAGCGUGAGUGACGGUAAUGGGUAAAGAAGCACCGGCUAACUACGUG
rnacentral:rRNA from 1 species